GCCUGGUUAUGCAGAGCCCCGACAGCCCAGCCCACCUCGCUGGCUGUUUGCUCUUGGACAUGCUUCAGUUCAGACCUGAGUGGUCUUCUCCUCCCCCGUCUCCGGCGGCCGGCGCCCUGGAGAGGAAACCAGCAGUAAAUCUUUGGUGUUCCCCUGUACAUACUGUUUCUUGUUGUCUUAUAUGCUUUCGACGGCCGGUCCCCUCCGUCGUUGGUUUAUAUGAUCAUAUAUGUUGCAGAAGCACCUCAAAUCAAUGUCGCUGAAGCUGAGACCCACCCCCAUGUCGCCCUCAAAUCAAUGUCGGUGGGGGCAGGACAGACCAGACGGGAUCCAGCAUUCCAAGCGCCAGCUGCUCGGGUUGCAUAGAUCCAAGGGUGUCGCGCUUGUCCAUGCCGCUGCCGACGGAUCCUGGAUUCUCUUGCACAGGGGGUUAAUGCCAACUACAGUAGUAGUAGUUCUCACAUGCCCUUAGCUGUUGUUUAAUUUCUUAUAUCAUCUGUCUGUCUGAAAUUCUGAAUCCGUCUUGUGCAGGUUUGUCAUUUCGAAGUCAGUCAACUCUCCUAGUCUUUCUAACGUCAAUGAGCUCAACCAUUUCUUAUGACCAAAUGUCAGUCAUCUAGUCAUCAGUCUUUUUCUUUAACAAUUCUCCAAUUGAACCAAUAGUAGAUGUAGCUUGUAGUUUCUAGGAAAGCUCCAGUUGGGCAAUGGGUAGGUAGCAUGUUCUCCUAUAAAAGCUGCUCCAAGGAGCUCUCUGAUCCAUCACCAAUCCUCGCCGUGUAAAUUUCCUCCCAAGACUGGUGGAGAUAUCGCUGCCAAAUGUCUUCUCCGGAUACGCAGGUGCUAAUUACUCCUCCCUUGUUUUUAAGCAAGCAUCCGAUUUUAUUGAUCAAAAGAAUGUCAGAAUCGUUGUCUCCAGUUUCAACUUUAAGUGUGUGCUCUGCCUUGCCACAUAAAUGAACAGCCUGUAAAUUCAUUUGUGACCUCUGUGUAUCUUUACUCUAGAUGACACAUACUGGUUUCUCGUAAUAGGUGAAGUUGAUGACAAUGCAUCUGUGUAAUCUCUGGUAGUUUUGUUGGCUGAAGUUUAUUAUAUAUUUUCACUGUCCUUUUUAUUA